rnacentral:tRNA from 1 species
GCAGUCGUGGCCAAGCAGUUAAGGCGAUGGACUAGAAAUCCAUUGGGGUCUCCCCACACAAGUUUGAAUCCUGUCGACUGCG